UGACGGGAAACUGUAUCUAGGUUAUUGGUAGGAAGAAGAGGAAGUGUCGUGCUGCGUCUGUGACUAAAAAGACCUUCCUGUUCAGGUUUUCAGUCUGUUUCUGGUCUCAGAGUUUGAAGGCGGCUCGGCUCAAAAAAACAGCACUCAGAGGGAGCUGCAGGUGCUUGUUUGGUAACCCAGGUGACAAAGGAGCAUCAGAGGACCUGAGAGCGUGAAAAAGAGGAAGAGGGGAUGAGUUGCAGCCACACAGAGAGAGAGAGAGAGAGCUCUCUUGCUGGAUUUGAAUUCUGAAGUUACAACAGAGAGGUCAAGCUUCCACCUGGUUUUGAUCUCCUGAUGAUGCCCAGUCUGGGUGGGACCAGGACUUUCUUGGUAACCUGACGCUCUAUCGUGGCUCCACUGCCAUGACCUACCUGGCUCACACCGCCCACGCCCAGCUCAGUGCCCUCUGGCUGGGCUGCGUGGGCUGGAUGCUCACCGCCGUGGCCCUUGGACUCAUCCAGUGGAGGGUGUGGCAGGUGUCUGACAGGGAGGUCAUCAGCUCCGGGGUGGCGUGGGUGGGCGUCUGGCGGGCCUGCUUCAACAGCCACACCCUUGUGAGCCCUGGCUUUAGGGUCAUGCACUGCAGGUACAUCAGCCUGACCGAGGCCUUCACGCCACCAGAGAUCGUGGCAGGUCAGGUUCUCAUGCUCCUGUCUCUGCUCGUGGGGCUUUGUGGGAACGCUGGCGGUGUUUAUGCCUUGAGGAACGUCUACUUUGGGAUGGAGAAGAACUUCCAAAUCCGCUUGGCAUUCUUCACCACCGGUGCGCUGUGCCUGUCGGCCGCCGUGAUGUCACUCAUACCUCUCCUGUGGAACCUGAGCUCGGUGGUGACCAAUCAGACCAUAAAGUUCCCCCCGGAGUUUAAAAUGCCCAAGGCUCCCGAUUCUCAACAUGUGGGGUGUGGCAUCGGGGUCGGGAUGGUGGGGUCAGUCCUCAUGGUUGUCUCUGGGAUUAUGUUCUGUAUGUACAGGUUACCAGUGAGGUCACGGCACCUGGACGGGUCAUUACCUGCACAAUCAGUGACUGACAGCAGGGGGGCUUUAACAAGCACCGGGGGGAAAGAGAACCCAGCAUUUGAGUCUCAUGAACACUUGUGAUUAGUCUGUUUAACACACUCAUGUACCUGAACUCACAGAUUAGGAAACUAAUGACAACUUUAACAUAUGAAGAGUUCCAUUUGCAAAUUGAGAUUGAAUUGAAGAAAGAAAAGUAAAAAAGGAACUUUAUAAAUGAA